rnacentral:lncRNA from 1 species
CCAGCUUCCCGAGUUCCCUUUGCUGCCCCUGUCUGCUCUAGGUUAGGAGAAAGGCCCUGAUAUUCGGGCCCCCACAAUUCACAGUCCCGCUGGCAUUGGGAAUGCCACUGGAUGGCAGCAUUUUCCCGUGCAACUCUGCAGAGGUAGGGGAGAUGAUCAAUAAGGGAAAAAAUGGUUAAAAAAAAAUGAGUGCGGAGGAAAGAAGAAACCAUUUUGGAGGUUACCACUUUGAAGACCAGCAUGUAUCUUCACUUCAGUGUAACUUAUGCAAAUCUUUGCAGUAUUGCAACUCUUAAAUCCCUUGCAGAGAAGAAGAAAGCCAGCAGAAAGCCAUCCAUUCCAGCGACUCUACAAGAGAGAAGUGACUGCAGAAAAUUGGAAUGCAAGAUUCAGAAAACAGACUUUGUAUAAGAUUAAGAUUGUGCUGAGAACUGGUAGUUGGGGAACAGUACUGCACUAGCACAGAAACGUGGCUUUUGUAUUGGAGCCAAUGCAUAACUGAUAUAGAGUAAGCUGAGUCUACAUACACAGUCUGCAAAGGACUGUAGGAAUAAAUGUACCUUUACUUAUCUGAAAUAAUCCA